CUGAUCCUCCUCCGUUUUCCCUGCAAGUUGAUGGUACUUGCAUCAGUACGUCCUUGCAAGUUAUCUUGGUGUCAUCUUUGAUCCUGGACUCACCUUUGCGCCUCAUAUCCAGUAUGUUGCUAAAACCUGUUGAUUCCACCUUAAAAACAUCGCUUACAUUCAUCCCUUUCUCACACAAGAUGCUGCCGAGUAGCUUGUUCGUGCUCUGGUAAUCUCUCGCAUGGAUUACUGUAAUUCUCUCCUAGUUGGUCUCCCCAGAAGCUGUACAGCCCCACUACAAUCUGUAUUGAAUGCUGCCGCCAGGCUGAUCUUUCUCACCCGCCGCUUCUCCCAUACCUCGCCUCUCUGUCGAUCCUUACACUGGCUUCCUUUAUCCUAUACGUGUCAAUUCAAAAUACUAACCCAUACCUAUAAAGCUUUAAACAGCUCUAGCCGCUGUUACAUUUCUUCACUGAUUCAUAGAUAUGCCCCGUCUCAGUCUCUCCACUCUGCCGGUGACCUUCUCCUGUCCUCUGCUCACACCCUUACUGCUAACAUGGACUUGCAGGACUUCUUGCGGGCGGCUUCCUUCUUUUGGAACAGCCUGUCUAACCCCAUCGGAACUCUCCCCCAGUCUUCAAUUGUUUAAGAAGUCACUCAAAAUACAUCUGUUCUGAAAUGCUUAU